UACGGGAGGCAGCAGUGGGGAAUAUUGCACAAUGGGCGCAAGCCUGAUGCAGCCAUGCCGCGUGUAUGAAGAAGGCCUUCGGGUUGUAAAGUACUUUCAGUCGUGAGGAAGGUGUUAAGGUUAAUAACCUUAGCAAUUGACGUUAGCGACAGAAGAAGCACCGGCUAACUCCGUGCCAGCAGCCGCGGUAAUACGGAGGGUGCGAGCGUUAAUCGGAAUUACUGGGCGUAAAGGGCACGCAGGCGGUUAAUUAAGUUGGAUGUGAAAUCCCCGGGCUUAACCUGGGAAUGGCAUUCAAGACUGGUUAGCUAGAGUCUUGUAGAGGGGGUAGAAUUCCAUGUGUAGCGGUGAAAUGCGUAGAGAUGUGGAGGAAUACCAGUGGCGAAGGCGGGCCCCUGGGACAAAGACUGACGCUCAUGUGCGAAAGCGUGGGGAGCAAACGAGGAUUAGGAUACC
rnacentral:rRNA from 1 species